rnacentral:pre_miRNA from 14 species
UAACGGUGUACACGGUGGCAGUGUGGUUAGCUGGUUGUGAUUUUUGGACCACGACCACUAUCCAUACUUCCUUCGUGAAUAUCGUUAG